AUGUUUGUGGCAAAUUUGCUGCAAAUAAAUGUUGCCAGAAGUUUGCAAAUGUUUGCCACCAGUGGUGAAUCUGCAGCAAACCUUAUAGGCAACAAUAGUAUGUAAUGCCACUAGUGGCAAACAGCUUACCAGAAGUAGUUCCAAGACCAGUAAGCAUUGAUGACCAGUCAGUGGGAGAAGAAAAAUCUAUUGAAGUGAUCUACCUUCCAAGUUGUACAAUGGAUACCCUUCCCCUACCCGUCGUGUUGGAAGAGGCUGCAUUGGGAAGAGGAUGCAUCAACACCCUGGAAAGAUGUUUGUGGUGCAUUCACUCAUGACACUUUUUUGCGAUAAAUGAGUGUAAUGUAAUCUUCAAGCUUGAUAAGUGCAUGCAGUUAUUAAGCUUUGGACGAAGGACUUCCACAAGGCCGCCAUCUCCAAAGUUCACUCAAAAAGGCAAUAGUUUUUUUUGUGUGUAUAUUAUUAUUUUUUCACUUCCAUUGGUUGAAAGCUAAUUUCUCAUCAGUAAUUUCUUAGUUCAUGAACAUUCGAAAGUUAAACAUCCUAAGGUUAAAAUCCCCAUAACCCAUAGUGUUCACAUUUCUCUCAUGUAAAUAUUGUAGCUACAUAAAAAUAUUAAAUAAACUAUUUAUUUGGGGAAUAUUCAGUUAUUGCUCUUUUUCAUUAGCAUGCUGAUAAUCAUUUCAAGAUAAGGAUU